UAAACAUUUACUUGAAGUUACUCCAGAAAGAAUAUAAGGAUUAUGCAUUUGUUAAUUGUCAACUCUGGGGAGAAGAAAUUCAACACGGAGUUGUAAGAAUUUCAAAUAAGGGCAAAUAUUCCUCCAGCCACCAUAGCUUGCCGCACCAUUUCAAGCUCACUGCUUGCAGACAAGCAGGGUAAGAUGGGAAUUUAUUUGGCAUAAGCUACUUUGUGAUGGCCUGGAGACUAAAAUAGAAAUACAAAAUAGAGGAAUAGGGAAACGAAACGAAAUUCAGCAGACCAUGAGCUUCUAUAAGCAUCCCAAGACAAAUGCGUUGUU